rnacentral:rRNA from 1 species
UGGCUUAAUUCGACGCAACGCGAAGAACCUUUACCAGGGCUUGACAUGCAGGGAAAAGCGGCGGAAACGUCGUGUCCGCAAGGGCCCUGCACAGGUUGGUGCAUGGCUGUCGUCAGCUCGUGUCGUGAGAUGUUCGGUUAAGUCCGCUAACGAGCGCAACCCUCGUCGUAUGUUAUAUGUGUCAUACGAGACUGCCGGUAAAAGCCGGAGGAAGGUGAGGAUGAUGUCAAGUCAGCAUGACCUUUAUAUCCAGGGCUACACACACGCUACAAUGGUCUGUACAAUGGGUAGCCAAGCCGCGAGGCGGAGCCAAUCCUGAAAGCAGGCCUCAGUUCAGAUUGCAGUCUGCAACUCGACUGCAUGAAGCCGGAGUUGCUAGUAACCGCAGGUCAGCAAUACUGCGGUGAAUACGUUCCCGGGUCUU